rnacentral:ncRNA from 2 species
CACAAGCGACGGGGGCGCUCGGGAAACCGGGCUGAGACGUACCCUUCGAACCUGAACCGGAUAAUGCCGGCGGAGGGAGGCGCAGCGGAACGUCC